UGCAUCGGCCGGGAUUCGAACCCGUGGCAAGUGAGCAUUCUACCACUGAACCACCAAUGC
rnacentral:tRNA from 1 species